CUUUUAUUUUAUUUCUUUAUUCCCUUUAGAUUUAUGAAGUACUAUAGAUCACGGACUGACCUUAUUUUUACAGUUGCUGACCGGUAACGUUUGCGUUAUGGUUUGGUUAUCGUGGGGAUUCUGCUGUAGAACUGCCGGUUAUUAUAACCUGACUCUAUUUCUGAGUCACUGACCAGUAUCUCUUGCUGUGUGAGUUUGGUGUUUAGUAGGCAGAAUCGGCAAUAGUACUGCCAAUCAUGGCCUGCCUCCAUGGUCACUGACUGUUUACUGGUGCAGUGUAGUUUGGUCUACUUCGUUGUUCAUGACGUUAUUGUCUUUUGCACUGACUAGUACGGCCUAAUUCCAUUUUGGAGUCACUACCGUUGUUACGAAAAG
rnacentral:lncRNA from 1 species